ACCGAAACCUUUACCUGCUAACUAGCUGCUUGGAUUUCGUCCUGGUUUGCUUCUUAGAGGGACUCCUGUGCUUCAAGCGUGGGGGAAGUUUAAGGCAAUAACAGGUCUGUGAUGCCCUUAUAUGUCCUGGGCUGCACGCGCGCUACACUGAUGCAUCCAUCGAGUUUGUCCUGUCCCGAAAGGGUUGGGUAAUCUUUAGUGUGCAUCGUGUCGGGGAUUGAUUUUUGCAAUUCUAAAUCAUGAACGAGGAAUGCCUAGUAUGCGCAAGUCAUCAGCUUGUGCAGAUUACGUCCCUGCCCUUUGUACACACCGCCCGUCGCUCCUACCGAUCGAGUGAUCCGGUGAAUUAUUCGGACCGUGGCUUUUCCGAUUCGUCGGUUUUGCCUAAGCAAAACCUAGAUUGAGCCUAAGAGUACUCGAUUAAUCUCUCUCGAUGGC
rnacentral:rRNA from 1 species